rnacentral:misc_RNA from 1 species
GAUGAAGAACGCAGCGAAACGCGAUAGUUAAUGUGAAUUGCAGAAUUCAGUGAAUCAUCGAAUCUUUGAACGCACAUUGCGCCCCUUGGUAUUCCAUGGGGCAUGCCUGUUCGAGCGUCAUUUGUACCUUCAAGCUUUGCUUGGUGUUGGGUGUUUGUCUCGCCUUUGCGUGUAGACUCGCCUUAAAAUAAUUGGCAGCCGGCGUAUUGAUUUCGGAGCGCAGUACAUCUCGCGCUUUGCACUCAUAACGACAGCGUCCAAAAGUACAUUUUACACUCUUGACCUCGGAUCAGGUAGGGAUACCCGCUGAACUUAAGCAUAUCAAUAAGCGGAGGA